rnacentral:rRNA from 1 species
UCAGACGAUGCGUCAUGCAUAUCAAUAAGCGGAGGAAAAGAAACUAACAAGGAUUCCCCUAGUAACGGCGAGUGAAGCGGGAAGAGCUCAAAUUUGAAAUCUUAAAGGGUUUCCCUUUACGAAUUGUAGUUUAAAGAAGUGUUUUCUGUUGAGGUUUUGGUAAAAGUUCUUUGGAAUAGGACAUCAUCAGAGGGUGAGAAUCCCGUAUUUGACCUUUACUUUCAACUUUGUGAUACACUUUCAAAGAGUCGGAUUGUUUGGGAAUGCAGUCCAAAAUGGGUGGUAAAUUUCAUCUAAAGCUAAAUAUUGGCGAGAGACCGAUAGCGAACAAGUACCGUGAGGGAAAGAUGAAAAGAACUUUGAAAAGAGAGUUAAACAGUACGUGAAAUUGUCAAAAGGGAAGCGUUUGACACCAGUGUUGUUUUUCUGAAAAUCAAUUAAAGAACUGUUUAUGCUAAGCUGUUCAGGACUUUAUCAGCUAACUGUUUAGUUUUGAGCUUUUCUUUAAUGCACUUUUCAGUUAACAAGUCAACAUCAAUUUCUUUUGCUGUAAAAAAGCUUGAGGAAGGUGGCUUGAGAUUCGUCUUAAGUGUUUAUAGCCUCUUGCCUAUGCAGUCGGAGAGAUUGAGGUCUGCAGCGUAGAUCCUUCGGGGCUAAAUGCAUUUGUGCUAAGUUAUAGCAUUUUAUAGACAACUUGUUGACUAUGAUUUGUCUUGUAGCUUACUCGCUUAUGUUAUUUUACCUACGCUUAGGAUGUUGAGCGCAUGUCUCUCUCU